UUCUUUGUUGGGGUUGCGGACAUAUCAUAACGAAGAGGUAUCGUAAUUGAAGAGGUUUGGAAAGACCCACCACAGAAGGUAAUAGUCCUGUAUGUUAAACGAGAAGACUUUAGAUAUGAUCCAGAGUACCACGGGACACGUGAAACCCUGUGGGAAGCAGGAGGGACCACCCUCCAAGGCUAAAUACUACCUAGUGACCGAUAGCGUAUAGUACCGUGAGGGAAAGGUGAAAAGAACCCCGGGAGGGGAGUGAAAUAGAACCUGAAACCCUGCACUUACAAGCUGUGGAAGCACAUUUCUUGUGUGACCGCGUACUUUUUGUAGAACGGGCCAACGAGUUACGUUAAGUAGCAAGGUUAAGCACUUAAGGUGCGGAGCCGUAGCGAAAGCGAGUUUUAACUGAGCGUUCAGUUACUUGACGUAGACCCGAAACCGGGCGACCUACCCAUGAGCAGGAUGAAGCGAAAGUAAAAUUUCGUGGAGGUCCGAACCCACGAGCGUUGAAAAGCUCGGGGAUGACUUGUGGGUAGCGGUGAAAUUCCAAUCGAGCCCGGAGAUAGCUGGUUCUCCCCGAAAUAGCUUUAGGGCUAGCCUCAAGGUGAGAGAUACGGAGGUAGAGCACUGAAUGUCCUAGGGGGUAUUGCACCUACCGAAGACUAUCAAACUCCGAAUGCCGUCAUCUUAUACUUGGGAGUCAGACUGUGGGUGAUAAGAUUCAUAGUCGAAAGGGCAACAGCCCAGAUCGUCAGCUAAGGUCCCUAAAUGUAAGUUAAGUGGUAAAGGAUGUGGGAUUGCACAGACAACCAGGAUGUUGGCUUAGAAGCAGCCACUCAUUCAAAGAGUGCGUAAUAGCUCACUGGUCGAGUGAUCCUGCGCCGAAGAUUUCCGGGGCUAAAACUUACUACCGAAGCUACGGCAUCAGUAAUGAUGGGUAGGGGAGCUUCCCAUACGGGUUGAAGCAUGACCGUAAGGACAUGUGGACAGUAUGGGAGUGAGAAUGUUGGCAUGAGUAGCGAGAUGUGGGUGAGAAUCCCACAGGCCGUAAACCCAAGG
rnacentral:rRNA from 1 species